UACGAAGGGGACUAGCGUUGUUCGGAAUCACUGGGCGUAAAGCGCACGUAGGCGGAUUUGUAAGUCAGGGGUGAAAUCCCGGGGCUCAACCUCGGAACUGCCUUUGAUACUGCGAGUCUUGAGUCCGAUAGAGGUGGGUGGAAUUCCUAGUGUAGAGGUGAAAUUCGUAGAUAUUGGGAAGAACACCGGUGGCGAAGGCGGCGAGCUGGUCCAUUACUGACGCUGAGGCGCGAAAGCGUGGGGAGCAAACAGG
rnacentral:rRNA from 1 species